GUUCCAACUCGAGUGACGUCAUUAAGAGGCAAAUAAGUGAGGGAUGAAUAAAGUUAGCGGCAUCGUUCUUCGAACCAAAACCACUGAAAGCUGCUGCAAAAGAACUAUUGGAGGCGCCCUCUACCUUCGGAAUACAUGUAUCCAGGAUAUGUCCAUGCAAGAGGAAGACCAAAGAGAAGGUUGACAGAUGUAGACAUGAGGAUAGUUGGGAUGAGAGAGGAGGCUCCAAAGCAAAAGAAGAUGAAGGCAAUGCAAUCAAUCAAAUUCCCUAUAUGUGAGAAAUGUAUUUUAAAUGUGCAAGAAAUGUAGUGUAAAAUUUCUAAAAAUAAAUAAAACAAAAAUG